UCUUUAAUCUUCGUAUUCGAAGACAUCGCCGCUGUUCUCUCUGACUACUACUACAAUGAACAGAUAUAAAAUAGUUAUAUAAUAAACAUUACUAGUAACCAACAACAUUGCCUAAAUCUGUAAGAUGCGAAAACCUUUAAGGCAAAUUUGAUGAAAGGGGUCCCAGCGCGAUGUUUGAGCGGUAAAGAGUUCGGCUUCUGAAAUUGGGGUCCCGGGUUCGAAUCCUGGUGAAGACUGGGAUUUUUAAGGGAUCUUUAGGUGCCUCUGAUUUCACCCAGCUCUGAUGGGUACCUGACGUUAGUUGGGGAAAGUAAACGCGGUUGGACGUUGUGCUGGCCAUAUGACACCCUCGUUAACCGUAGGCGACAGAAACGGAUGAUCUCUACAUCAUGUGCCCUAUAAAUCGCAAGAUCUGAAAGGGUAACAAAACAUUAUACCCCUUAUUACAAAGCUUAUAUAAAAUCUCACUUUGUCUGUUUGGUAAAAAGUUUAUACAUGUUAUAUCUCCCACACCUCUUCUCGGAUCAAGAUGAAACCUUGUACAACUAUUUAUUGUUAUAGACAAGACAUAAAUACAUUUUAAAAAAUUAACCAAUUAAUCAAGUAAGUACUGGUUAUUA